GACGAACGCUGGCGGCGUGCUUAACACAUGCAAGUCGAACGGAAAGGCCCUGCUUUUGUGGGGUGCUCGAGUGGCGAACGGGUGAGUAACACGUGAGUAACCUGCCCUUGACUUUGGGAUAACUUCAGGAAACUGGGGCUAAUACCGGCUAGGAGCUCCUGCAGCAUGGUGGGGGUUGGAAAGUUUAGGCGGUUGGGGAUGGACGGCGGGCUUAUCAGCUUGUUGGUGGGGGAGUGGCUUACCAAGGCUUUGACGGGUAGCCGGCCUGGGAGGGUAACCGGCCACAUGGGGCCUGAGGGAGGGCCCAGACGCCUACGGGAGGCAGCGGUGGGGAAUAUUGCCCAGUGGGCGGAAGCGUGAUGCAGCAACGCCGCGGUCGGGAUGACGGCCUUCGGGUGGUAAACCGCUUUCGCCUGUGACGAAGCGUGAGUGACGGUAAUGGGUAAAGAAGCACCGGCUAACUACGUG
rnacentral:rRNA from 1 species